UACGUAGGGGGCAAGCGUUGUCCGGAAUCAUUGGGCGUAAAGCGCGCGUAGGCGGCCCGGUAAGUCCGUUGUGAAAGUCAAAGGCUCAACCUUUGAAUGCCGAUGGAUACUGCCGGGCUAGAGUCCGGAAGAGGCGAGUGGAAUUCCUGGUGUAGCGGUGGAAUGCGCAGAUAUCGGGAGGAACACCAGUGGCGAAGGCGGUUUCCUGGGGCAUUCUUGACGCUGAGGCGCGAAAGCUGGGGGAGCGAACGGG
rnacentral:rRNA from 1 species